rnacentral:rRNA from 1 species
UACGAAGGGGGCUAGCGUUGUUCGGAAUUACUGGGCGUAAAGCGCACGUAGGCGGAUUGUUAAGUCAGAGGUGAAAUCCCGGAGCUCAACUUCGGAACUGCCUUUGAUACUGGCAAUCUCGAGUCCGGAAGAGGUUAGUGGAAUUCCCAGUGUAGAGGUGAAAUUCGUAGAUAUUGGGAAGAACACCAGUGGCGAAGGCGGCUAACUGGUCCGGUACUGACGCUGAGGUGCGAAAGCGUGGGGAGCAAACAGGG